UACGUAGGGUGCAAGCGUUAAUCGGAAUUACUGGGCGUAAAGCGUGCGCAGGCGGUUGUGCAAGACCGAUGUGAAAUCCCCGGGCUCAACCUGGGAAUGGCAUUGGUGACUGCACGGCUAGAGUGUGUCAGAGGGGGGUAGAAUUCCACGUGUAGCAGUGAAAUGCGUAGAGAUGUGGACGGAAUACCGAUGGCGAAGGCAGCCCCUGGAUACACUGACGCUCAUGCACGAAAGCGUGGGGAGCAAACAGG
rnacentral:rRNA from 1 species